CAGGUGGAACCACCACAGCUGAAGAUCUUGGCAGCGGUAGCAAAUAUUCAAAUGAGAACUUUGAAGGCUGAAGUGGAGAAGGGUUCCUU
rnacentral:miRNA from 1 species